rnacentral:lncRNA from 1 species
CCAGAUCACUAAACGAGCAGCAUACAAUUCAACUGCAACUGAAUUAACAGAGUGCAAAAAAGACCAAAAAAAAUCACAAACCUUCUAGACCAGUAUCUGCAGGUGGCGAAAAUGAAAAGCACCAUUCCAACGACUACGAUGCCAUAAAUUGCAGUGGUAGCAACACUGAUGCGACUUGGUCCCUUCUUCUUCUUGCUUUGUUGUAACAGAGUUUGAGGUUUGAUCCUUGCCAUUGAACUUUUACAACACAGACUUCAAAAAUCUGAACCUCUACAAGAAAACCAGCAAUAAUUGAUCGGAAUCCAGAGCACUAAAUGCUAUUCUCAGUCACGUAUCACAUUGAAGACAUCGAGAUCCAGUCAACGAAUUUUCAAAAAACUGUCCACGAUCUGAAAAUAAAAUGACUUUGAAUUAAAAUCCUUUCAAAUUACAAUCUCAUGUAACAUCUAAAAAUAGAAUCCAUCGCUUUACCUAUCUAGAAGGGGGGGGGGGAAGAAGAAUCACAAAAAAUUUAAAAAAUUC